UAGCUAGCUAGGUAUAGCCGGACACACACUACGAAACAUAGCCAACCACAGCCUGUUCUACGUACAGGCAGACUCCAAACUCUCGCUUUCCUCCCAAAGCUCGUACACGCACAUGGAUCCACAGGACUCUAGCCUAUGCACCUCGCACCAGAGGAUAAAGAGAAUGCACUAGCAUGACGCUUGUGCGUACGGGAAGGUAGCGCGAUCUACCAUGCACCAUCGAGCCAUAUGGUCAUGUUCACAUAUGCAUGGCCCAGAACUAACUCAC
rnacentral:lncRNA from 1 species